rnacentral:rRNA from 1 species
AAAAUCGGCCAUAGCAUGCUGGAUACGCCGGUUCUCGUCCAAUCACCGAAGCUGAGCAGCGUUGGGCUCGGUCAGUACUUGUGAGGUAGACCACCUGGGAACACCGAGUGCUGAUGGCA